rnacentral:rRNA from 1 species
GCAGUAGCCGCGGGAAUACGGAGGGGGCUAGCGUUGUUCGGAAUUACUGGGCGUAAAGCGCACGUAGGCGGCUUGGUAAGUUAGAGGUGAAAGCCUGGAGCUCAACUCCAGAAUUGCCUUUAAGACUGCCGAGCUAGCAGGUGAGAGAGGUAAGUGGAAUUCCGAGUGUAGAGGUGAAAUUCGUAGAUAUUCGGAAGAACACCAGUGGCGAAGGCGGCUUACUGGCUCAUACUGGACGCUGAGGUGCGAAAGCGUGGGGAGCAAACAGGAUUAGAUACCGCGUAGUCCCUGUCUCUUAUACA